GGUGGCUCAGUAGUAGAGUGUUUGCCUUGCAUGCAUGAGGCCCCAGGUUCGAUUUCUGAGCACCA
rnacentral:tRNA from 1 species